rnacentral:rRNA from 1 species
UACGGAGGGUGCAAGCGUUAAUCGGAAUUACUGGGCGUAAAGCGUGCGUUAGGCGGUUCGUUAAGUCUGUUGUGAAAGCCCCGGGCUCAACCUGGGAAUGGCAAUGGAUACUGGCGAGCUAGAGUGUGUCAGAGGAUGGUGGAAUUCCCGGUGUAGCGGUGAAAUGUGUAGAGAUCGGGAGGAACAUCAGUGGCGAAGGCGGCCAUCUGGGACAACACUGACGCUGAGGCACGAAAGCGUGGGGAGCAAACAGG